UGUUAGCACCAGGCCAAGGGCAGUGGAAGAGAAUUAUUCCAUGCAUUUGGAAGUCUCAUGGUCCAAUACAGAAGUACCCUGGACACAUGAAUACAGGCCAGCAUUCAGCCAGCAGGAUGGAGAUUUGAACCUUGCUCAGCUAUGAGAGAUCUGGCUUCCUCUGCAAAGUGCCUAAUCACUGAGCCAUUGGCCCAGCUCCUG